AACUCGGCUGCAUGAAGCUGGAAUCGCUAGUAAUCGCGGAUCAGAACGCCGCGGUGAAUACGUUCCCGGGUCUUGUACACACCGCCCGUCACACCAUGGGAGCCGGAAACGCCCGAAGCCAGCGGCCCAACCGCAAGGGGGGAGCUGUCGAAGGCGGGGCCGGUGACCGGGGUGAAGUCGUAACAAGGUAGC
rnacentral:rRNA from 1 species